rnacentral:tRNA from 1 species
AAAGUACUAGUAAUAACUAUUACACUGCUUUGUCAAGGCAGAAUUGUGAGUUAAAAUCUCACGUACUUUA